UACGGAGGAUCCAAGCGUUAUCCGGAAUCAUUGGGUUUAAAGGGUCCGUAGGCGGUUUAGUAAGUCAGUGGUGAAAGCCCAUCGCUCAACGGUGGAACGGCCAUUGAUACUGCUGAACUUGAAUUAUUAGGAAGUAACUAGAAUAUGUAGUGUAGCGGUGAAAUGCUUAGAGAUUACAUGGAAUACCAAUUGCGAAGGCAGGUUACUACUAAUUGAUUGACGCUGAUGGACGAAAGCGUGGGUAGCGAACAGG
rnacentral:rRNA from 2 species